AACGAACGCUGGCGGCAGGCCUAACACAUGCAAGUCGAGCGAACCCUUCGGGGUUAGCGGCGGACGGGUUAGUAACGCGUGGGAAUAUACCCUUUGGUACGGAAUAGCCUCGGGAAACUGAGAGUAAUACCGUAUGUGCCCUUCGGGGAAAGAUUUAUCGCCAAAGGAUUAGCCCGCGUUGGAUUAGAUAGUUGGUGGGGUAAUGGCCUACCAAGUCUACGAUCCAUAGCUGGUUUGAGAGGAUGAUCAGCAACACUGGGACUGAGACACGGCCCAGACUCCUACGGGAGGCAGCAGUGGGGAAUCUUAGACAAUGGGCGCAAGCCUGAUCUAGCCAUGCCGCGUGGACG
rnacentral:rRNA from 1 species